rnacentral:rRNA from 1 species
GAUGAACGCUAGCGAUAGGCUUAACACAUGCAAGUCGAGGGAACGGCGGAUGGGUGGGUAACGCGUAUGCAACUUGCCUCUUAGUGGGGGGUAACCCGGAGAAAUCCGGACUAAUACAGCAUACUAAGAGAUAGGCAUGGGUUCCAUUAGUUAGGUGGUGAGGUAACGGCUCACCAAGGCAUCGAUGGAUAGGGGAGCGGAGAGGCGGAUCCCCCAGAUUUGGACUGAGACCCAGCCCAAAAUGCGAGGGGAGGCAGCAGUGAGGAAUAUUGGUCAAGGGAGUAAAAUCUGAAACAGCCGAGUAGCGGUAAGGAGGUCGGUCUAUGGAUUGUAAACUUCUUUAGUAGGCGAGUCAGUAUCCUAAGAAUAAGUAUCGGCUAACUCCGUGCCAGCAGCCGCGGUAAUAC